AAGGAGUCUAACUUGUUUGCGAGUGUUUGGGUGGCAAACCCGAGCGCGUAAUUAAAGUGAAUGCAGGUGGGAUGCGCAAGCAGCAUCAUCGACCGAUCUGGAUCUUUUGUGAUGGAUUUGAGUAAGAGCACAUAUGCUGGGACCCGAAAGAUGGUGAACUAUGCCUGAAUAGGGCGAAGCCAGAGGAAACUCUGGUGGAGGCUCGUAGCGAUUCUGACGUGCAAAUCGAUCGUCAAAUUUGGGUAUAGGGGCGAAAGACUAAUCGAACCAUCUAGUAGCUGGUUCCUGC
rnacentral:misc_RNA from 1 species